rnacentral:rRNA from 1 species
AUUGAACGCUGGCGGCAGGCCUAACACAUGCAAGUCGAACGAGUGGCGGACGGGUGAGUAAUGUCUGGGGAACUGCCUGUUGGAGGGGGGUAACAACUGGAAAAGGUAGCUAAUACCGCAUACCAUCAGGUAUGCCCCGAUGGGAUUAGCUAGUAGGUGGGGUAACGGCGCACCAAGGCCACGAUCCCUAGCUGGUCUGAGAGGAUGACCAGCCACACUGGAACUGAGACACGGUCGAGACUCCUACGGGAGGCAGCAGUGGUGAAUAUUGCACAAUGGGCGCAAGCCUGAUGGAGCCAUGCCGCGUGUAUGAAGAAGGCCUUCGGGUUGUAAAGUACUUACAGCGGGGAGGGGUUACCCACAGAAGAAGCACCGGCUAACUCCGUGCCAGCCGCCGCGGUAAUAC